UAGAGUUUGAUCAUGGCUCAGAGCGAACGUUAGCGGCGGGCCUAACACAUGCAAGUCGAACGAGAAUAGGGGAGCAAUCCCCUUAGUAAAGUGGCGGACGGGUGCGUAACACGUGGGUAAUCUACCUUCCGGCGGGGGACAACAGUCCGAAAGGAUUGCUAAUACCGCAUACGUCAGCGAGGUCCACGGAUCUUGCUGGGAAAGAUGGCCUCUCCUUGGAAGCUGUCACCGGAAGAUGAGCCCGCGUCCCAUCAGCUAGUUGGCGAGGUAACGGCUCACCAAGGCAUAGACGGGUAGGUCGGGCCCAAUCGCC
rnacentral:rRNA from 1 species